AAGCUCUGCAAUCUUCUCCGCAGAGUUACAAAUGUAAACUUUAUAUUCAUGUUAUUUAAUUUGGAAUGUAUAAAUUAUUCUGUUAUCAGAUUAUUUUUGGACUCCGCAGUUAUAGGGUUGUGUAUUUAAAUUGGGCCUUAUUGUUAGCACUACGCUAUAAAUUAAUUAUUGUGUAAUUAACUGUAGGUAAACUAGUAAGCCCUUAUUGUGAUUAUGAGUUAUUGUGAAUAGGCCCUGGUUAAAUUUUAUGUAUUAUUUGAUAUUGGGCCAGAUGUUUGAAAAUUUUAUAAAACUUAUAUCUCAA
rnacentral:lncRNA from 1 species